UGAAUAUCCUCAAGAGGUUGAUUUAUCAGCACAAAUUGGGCGUUUCUACCAGUAUUUAAAAGUAUCCAACUAUAUCUUACAUAGAGAGUGUAUAUCAUGAGUCCAACCUUUUUAAAACGUGUUUAUUCUGUUUCUACUGUCAAAAGAGAAGAGUUGCUGUUAAAAGAUGUACGUGUGAUUGAUAAAUAUAGCUCGGACAAAGAUGCAAAUGAUAACUUGGACAAAGAUGAAAUUGUGUUUCUGUUUGUUAACUGUUUUGAUAUGUACUUCACUAAACGAUUGCUAGGAAGAUACGAUGAACUGCUAUCGAUGAUCGAACAGGAAAUAAAAAAACUAGGCACACCGGUUGAUGUUGUAAUACUUUAUG